rnacentral:rRNA from 1 species
GGGAAACUCACCAGGUCCAGACAUAAUAAGGAUUGACAGAUUGAUAGCUCUUUCUUGAUUUUAUGGGUGGUGGUGCAUGGCCGUUCUUAGUUCGUGGAGUGAUUUGUCUGCUUAAUUGCGUUAACGAACGAGACCUUAACCUGCUAAAUAGGAGUGCAUAUCUUCGGAUAAGCACCUUUCUUCUUAGAGGGACUAUAAGUGUUGCAAUUUGUGGAAGUUUGAGGCUAAAA